CCAUCAUGUCUCUAACUAAUGAUUAAUAAUAGUUAAAGCUCAGAAACCAAGCCUAUCACCAGGAAGUGGAAUCGGGGAUCUGUGGACGUAACUCUGGAUUUGUAAGAACCUAAAGAAAUUAUGUCUGUGGAGACCAAAUUUAGCUGAUAAUUGUUCAAACGUAGUAAAUGUAUUGUUAAUACAGAGCCCUGUAAAUCUUUUAAUACCGGGACUAGACCGUGUUGAGAAAGCACCCUCAACCAUAGAUGGGAAGAAACUGGGAUUGAGGCUACCGGAGCGAAAGAAGAGGUUGUCUGAAACCCAAAGUGGCGUCUAAAUUGAUUCCGUUGUUGUUUUGAUACAUAUAUUUUUGGUGAAGGAAGAGUGAGAGAGGGAAGACGAUGAUGCCGUUAUAGAUGAGGUCCCUUUACAUCUCUAGACAAAUUUGGGGUGGGAAUAUCUCUCUGCUCUGCAACCAGUACUGAAUGAUCCUAAGAUGGCCGAGCGGGGUAGGUGUGGAGCCAGAGACAGCGGUGGUGUCAAACUGUAGACCCCAGUUCCUACAUUUGAACAUAAAAAUGUAUUUUAUCAAACAAAACUAUGCUACAUUUUAUCUCUGGGACCCUCAGGAUGACAAACCAGAGCAAGAUAACUGAAUGUAAGUACAUUAUUUACCUUCAGAAGUGAAUGUAUCAAAUCAAUUGCCGUGAUAAAAGUGUUUUGUUGUUGUGCACUCCUCAAACAAUAGUAUAGUCUUUUUACACUGUAAUAGCUACUGUUAAUUGGACACCAAGUUUUCUGCCCAUAUAAGACAUGUCUAUGUCUCGGAAAGUUGGCUGUUGUAUACAACGUCAUUCUAGUCACAUUAGCCCACGUUAGCAACAACCGUCCCGGUUUAGGGACACCAAUCCCAUAGAGGUUUUAAGUUACCAAUUACCUAAAUCACCUCCAUUACAUCAGGAGGACCAAACUGAAGCAGAGUGUCACAGGCGUCGAAAGGGACAGACCAAAACGCAGCGGGAGGACAUCAGGAGGACCAAACCGAAGCAGAGUGUCACAGGCGUCGAAAGGGACAGACCAAAACGCAGCGGUAUAGUGCUCAUCUUCUUUUAUUACUUAAUAAAGUGAACACUUAAACAAAAAAACAAUAAACCGACAAUCAAUAGUUCUGCAAGGUAUACAGACUAUGCAGAAAGCAAUCACCCACAAAAACACAGGAAAAACUGCCUAAGUAUGGCUUCCAAUCAGAGACAACGAAAGACACCUACCUCUGAUUGGAAGCCAUACCUUGCCACACAUAGAAAAAUAAACAUAGAAAUAGAAAACUAGAACCCAAAUCCCCUAGAACCAAAAACCCCAAAACACACAAAACAAACACCCCCUGCCACGCCCUGACCAUACUACAAUUACAAAUGACCCCUUUCCCUUAAUGUAAUAAAAGGAUUUCCAUCAGUUUUCUCAAUUAUCUUUGACAGAGAGGAACCCAAAUUAACAAAAAAAGUUAUUAAAUUCACAUGUAAUAAUCAGGAUCACUAUAGGUCGUAUUUCCAACAAUACAUUGAGAUGGAAUAGUUGUAAGUGCCUUUUUCUUAUUUCUUUUAUUUAACCUUUAUUUAAC
rnacentral:lncRNA from 1 species